rnacentral:rRNA from 1 species
GACGAACGCUAGCGGCGUGCCUAAGGUAUGCAAGUCGAACGAGAGCUAUCCUUCGGGGUAGCCUAAGUGGCGAACGGUCGAGUAACACGUAGACAACCUGCCCGAGAGUGGGGGAUAACAGCCCGAAAGGGCUGCUAAUACCGCAUGUGGCCGGGGGAGGCCUCUCUCCUGUGCUAAAGGCGCAAGCCGCUCUGGGAUGGGUCUGCGGCCUAUCAGCUAGUUGGUGGGGUAACGGCCCACCAAGGCGACGACGGGUAGCGGGUCUGAGAGGAUGAUCCGCCGGACAGGGACUGAGACACGGCCCCGACUCCUUCGGGAGGCAGCAAUGAGGAAUAUUGCGCAAUGGGGGAAACCCUGACGCAGCGACGCCGCGUGGGUGAGGAAGUUCUUCGGAAUGUAAAGCCCUUUUCUCGGGGACGAGACACGACGGUACCCGAGGAAUAAGCCCCGGCUAACUACGUGCCAGCAGCCGCGGUAAUACGUAGGGGGCGAGCGUUGUCCGGAUUUACUGGGCGUAAAGAGCGCGUAGGAC